rnacentral:tRNA from 1 species
UCCCUGAUGGUCCAGUGGCUAAGACUCUGUGCUCCCAAUGCAGGGGCCCUGGGUUCGAUCCCUGGUCAGGGAG